rnacentral:rRNA from 1 species
CACGUAGGGGGCGAGCGUUGUCCGGAUUCAUUGGGCGUAAAGGGCGCGCAGGCGGCUCGGAAAGUCGGGUGUGAAAACUCGGGGCUCAACCCCGGGCGUGCAUCCGAUACUGCCGGGCUUGAGGCAGGUAGGGGAGAUCGGAAUUCCUGGUGUGAGCGGUGGAAAGUGACGCAGAUAUCAGGAGGAACACCGGUGGCGAAGGCGGAUCUCUGGGCCUGUCCUGACGCUGAGGCGCGAAAGCUAGGGGAGCGAACAGG